GUCAGGAUGGCCGAGCGGUCUAAGGCGCCAGACUCAAGUGUGAAAACUUGUUCUGUUCCAACAGAAUUUGAGCAAUGUAUUGUGAGCGUUCUGGUCCUCUCUGAGGGCGUGGGUUCAAAUCCCACUCCUGACA
rnacentral:tRNA from 1 species